GACGAACGCUGGCGGCGUGCCUAAUACAUGCAAGUCGAGCGAGCGGCGGACGGGUGAGUAAUGUCUGGGAAACUGACUGAUGGAGGGGGAUAACUACUGGAAACGGUAGCUAAUACCGCAUACCAUCAGAUGUGCCCAGAUGGGAUUAGCUAGUAGGUGGGGUAAUGGCUCACCUAGGCGACGAUCCCUAGCUGGUCUGAGAGGAUGACCAGCCACGCUGGAACUGAGACACGGUCCAGACUCCUACGUGAGGCAGCAGUGGGGAAGAUUGCACAAUGGGCGCAAGCCUGAUGCAGCCAUGCCGCUUGUGUGAAGAAGGCCUUCGGGUUGGAAAGCACUUUCAGCGAGGAGGCGUUACUCGCAGAAGAAGCAUCGGCUAACUCCGUGCCAGCAGCCGCGGUAAUAC
rnacentral:rRNA from 1 species